UAAAAUAAAAAGAUUAAAAUUAACAAAAUUCAUAAAUAUAAGAAUUAUAAAUGAGAAAAAAAAUGAUUUAGGAAGAGUUGAAGAAGGAUCGAAGAAGGGUUGAAGAAGGAUUGAGGAAGGGUUGAGGAGGUAAAACUAGGGUUAUAUAACCCUUCUUCCAAACGAAGGUUGGAUUACAUAAUUCAACUUUCCUCUUUAUAAUCCUUCCCCCAAAUAUGCCCUUAAGAUUUAUUUUUGAUUCUGCUGUAAUUUGGAAAAGAAGUUGUGUGAAGUCUUCAAAGGGUAGACUUUCUCACAGUAGCAGUAAUUUUGUUUACUAGUACCAUAUGUUGGAGGAAAUUUUGUGUUCCUUUAAGCCAAUAUCCAAAAUGAUGUGAAGAUUGAUUUACAUGUGUAUUUUUUAUCUUGUAUUCUACUAUCUUUAUUCCAUUAGAUGUAUAAUUACUUGGCUCCUGAUGAAAGACAAGUUAGUUCUUAACCACCAUAACCAACCAACUUCUAAGACUCAGCAAGCCCCUGUUUUGGCAUCAAUAAAACAGAGCAACAUUUAUUCGAAAGAACAGAGCAUUCCAUCCUAUUGGGUUCAUAAAAAUAAUGAUGUGUUUAAGAAAGAUUUUAGCAGCAUGUGGGUUAUCUCAAGGCUCUGUGUAUAACAAAUGGAACGAGGUCACUAAACCAUCGGAGUACUUUCAAACCAAAGGCAUCAUCGAUCUUCUGUUCGCUGAUAAGGCAUUGAUCAAAGUCAAUGCCGGAAAUUCGGAAAUUGCCGAAAGUAGACUAAAAAUGGAGGGUUAAAAGAAUUUUGGGAUUGAUUUUCAAAAAAUUGAUUUUUAGGACAAUUUGAAGGUGAAUUACCAAAAAUAGCCAUCAUUAAAUUUUCCUUUCCCUUCCCCUUCUCUUCCACAUAAAACAACACCACCUAAAUAAAAAAAAAAAAACAAAAAAAAAAAAAAUCAACCCUUGCGUUCUUCUUUGCCAAAACGUUUGAAAUUUUUCACUUUACUCUGGUGAGAACUGAAGAUACUUCGGUGCCGUUCGAAAAUACUCCAGUAUUGUUCGUCGCUCCUCUGUUUGCGAGUUCAAACCCAUUCGAUCAAAUUUCAGAGCAUUUUCACUUAUUUUGGUGAGUUUCAUCUCUAACCCACUUUCAAUCGACCUUUGUUUUGUAUUACCCACUACUUAAGGAUAUGAUUUUGUAGGUUUAAAGAUAAAUCGAUCACCAUCUAACCCAGCGGGUAAGAAUGCUCUGAACUUCUUUUGUAUUCUUUUUAAAACUCUUAUAUUGUAUUGUUGGACUGAUAUCGGACUAUUCAAAAAGUUUUCAGCAAGUGUCUAAAUCUCUUUUAGUAAGUUUUGAGUAAUAAAGUUUGGUUUAGGUCUUUUUGGAAUCGAUUUAUUCGCUGUAAAUUAGUUUAGUCCUUAAAAUCUCUGUAGCUCAGGUCUAAAAUAGAGGGUUCAAUUGAGUUUUAAGCCUCUUAGAAAGGGCACAUGUUAAGCAAGCUCUUAUGUUAUGUUGAGAUUUUGUGAAACUAUAUGAAUGCAUGAUAUCCAUGUCAAAAUCAAAAAAAUGUUUGUCGUUCUUGGGCUGGAAACAUGAUCUAGAAAGCAAAGUUUGAGUUUAUAUUAUAUGCAUUAGUUUGGAGCGUUCGUAUGUAUGUUUAGUAAGCCUUUUAGGUCCUUAUAUUUUAUCUCACACACAUCUCGCACAUUCCAAACUUUCACUAUUUAUUUCGAAAUCAAAUUUCUACCCCUCCUAAUCCAUUUAGGGUGAUUCUAUGCAUUUUUAGUAAGUCUCUUAUGCAAUUAUAUUUCAUUUGUUCUUUUUUUGUUCAAGCUUCAGUUAUGACAUCGACAUCAACUGACGGAACAAUGUACAAGAUUAAUCAUUCCCAUUAUUUUCAUGCCCUAGUGACGAAGAAGACUGCAAGGGGUUUGAAGGCUUGGUAGAUCAUAAACUAGAAAGUGAAGAAGUGGAUGCUAAGACUCAAUAUGUUGACACAGUCGGUACCUUUCUUGGUUGAGGAUGCCAAAGGAGGAUGACACAAGUAAUGGGAUGAAACACAUUGAACUUAAAAAGAAUGUUAAGAAUUACUCAUACGUUAGGUUUCAUGUUCUCGCUAAUUUGAUGUUUACUUUUUAUCAUUAUCCACACUAGUGCAUUUUGAGCUUCCAUUGAGUGAAGAAGAUGUUGACAUCGUCGAUACCCCUCUUUGGUUGAGGAUGCUAAAGGAGAAUGAGAUAAGUAAUGGGGUGAAGGUGGGUGACGAGCACCAAACGAAUGCAUUAGACAGUAAGGUUAAUAUUGAGUUAGAGAAGCCAUCGACAUGUUGGAGAAAAAGGUUCAGAUUGGUUUAGAGGAGCCAAUAGACAUCAUUGACGACAAGGUUGAAAUUGAGGAAACUGAGAAAAAACUUCUUACUCAUUUGGAUUCAUACAUCACAGAGAUAGAACCAAUUUCCACUUAACGACCACAAUUCGGCCAACACAUAGGAAGCGUGCAAGUGUUUACAUCUCAACCCCAUUCACAACUCUAACUAAAUGGUCUACGACAUCAACCACCACUACCUCUCAGUCUUAACCAUUAGUUUAUGAUCCCAUGCACAAAAUACUUGACGUCGAUUUAGAUAGAUUUAGAGCUUGGAUUACAGACAAGCGUACAAACGAUAAGGUACAUGAAACUUUUCAUGGGAAGAAAUCGAAGAUAUUUUUCAGAGAUUGUUUAUGUGUCACUGGUGGUUGGCAUGUGAGCAUUUGGAUACACUUUUUCUUUUCAUUCGCUUCAAGAUUAAGGCAGUCGGGAUACCUUCUGCUCAAAACUUCAUAACUAUAGACACAAUCUUCAUGGUGCAAAGUAGCCCGGAUACAAAGAGUGUAUUAAAGAGAAUCGGCCAUUUGACUAAAAGGAAGAGUAUAGGUUGCUUGACUAUGUUGUCGGGUCGAAAGAGGACUUCCAAAAUCCUUGAGCAAGUGUUGAUUACGUUUACUCUCCAUUCAAUGUCCAUGCCAAUCAUUGGGUUCUAUUAUGCUAGGAUUUGGUAAGUUGUCAAGUCAAGGUAUGGGAUUCGUUUCUGUCGCUUACAAGUGCUGAAGAGAUGAGAAGCAUGUUACUACUAAUUCAAGAGUUGGUGUCAGAUUUGUUGGAUAGUACUGGAUUCUUUGCUAGAUCAUUGGCACACAAGCAACCUUGGCUACUUGUCAUUGUCGACUCCAUUUCACUGUGUGGCGUAUUCACCAUUAAGUAUUUUGAGUACGUAGCUGUUGGUUUUGAUUUAGAUACAUUAUGUCAAGAAAACAUAUCCUACUUUAGAAAACAAUUGGCAUUUCAAUUAUGGACCAACACUACUAUGUAUUGAAUUUUGUUGCGAGAUCUGUAGGAGUUGUAUAUCAUGUAUGUUGCGAAAUAUGUACAUAAACCGUUUGAUGUAAUGAACAUCAUGGA